rnacentral:rRNA from 1 species
GCCUACGGGUGGCUGCAGUGGGGAAUCUUCCGCAAUGGGCGAAAGCCUGACGGAGCAACGCCGCGUGAAUGAAGAAGGCCUUCGGGUCGUAAAGUUCUGUUGAAAGGGAAGAAGUCUCUUUAUGUGAAUAAUGUAAAGAGGUGACGGUACCUUUUGAGGAAGCUCCGGCUAACUACGUGCCAGCAGCCGCGGUAAUACGUAGGGAGCAAGCGUUGUCCGGAAUUACUGGGCGUAAAGGGCGCGUAGGCGGGAUUUUAAGUCAGGUGUGAAAACUCUGGGCUCAACCUGGAGAUUGCACUUGAAACUGGAAUUCUUGAGGACAGGAGAGGAAAGUGGAAUUCCUAGUGUAGCGGUGAAAUGCGUAGAUAUUAGGAGGAACACCAGUGGCGAAGGCGACUUUCUGGACUGUAACUGACGCUGAGGCGCGAAAGCGUGGGGAGUGAACGGGAUUAGAUACCCUAGUAGUC